rnacentral:rRNA from 1 species
GGGUUGUGAGGUUAAGCGACUAAGCGUACACGGUGGAUGCCCUGGCAGUCAGAGGCGAUGAAGGGCGUGCUAAUCUGCGAUAAGCGCCGGUAAGGUGAUAUGAACCGUUAUAACCGGCGAUACCCGAAUGGGGAAACCCAGUGUGAUUCGUCACACUAUCAUUAACUGAAUCCAUAGGUUAAUGAGGCGAACCGGGGGAACUGAAACAUCUAAGUACCCCGAGGAAAAGAAAUCAACCGAGAUUCCCCCAGUAGCGGCGAGCGAACGGGGAGGAGCCCAGAGCCUGAAUCAGCAUGUGUGUUAGUGGAAGCGUCUGGAAAGGCGCGCGAUACAGGGUGACAGCCCCGUACACAAAAGCGCAUAUGCUGUGAGCUCGAUGAGUAGGGCGGGACACGUGGUAUCCUGUCUGAAUAUGGGGGGACCAUCCUCCAAGGCUAAAUACUCCUGACUGACCGAUAGUGAACCAGUACCGUGAGGGAAAGGCGAAAAGAACCCCGGCGAGGGGAGUGAAAAAGAACCUGAAACCGUGUACGUACAAGCAGUGGGAGCCCCACCACUAAGCCAGUGGUGAACUCCACAUACGCAUCCUUUGCUGAGGAGACGGUUAACGGAGCGAAAGCGACGUUCAACCUCAAAAGAAGCAGAGGGGGCUUAGUGGUGGGGUGACUGCGUACCUUUUGUAUAAUGGGUCAGCGACUUAUAUUCUGUAGCAAGGUUAACUGUAUAGGGGAGCCGGAGGGAAACCGAGUCUUAACCGGGCGUUAAGUUGCAGGGUAUAGACCCGAAACCCGGUGAUCUAGCCAUGGGCAGGUUGAAGGUUGGGUAACACUAACUGGAGGACCGAACCGACUAAUGUUGAAAAAUUAGCGGAUGACCUGUGGCUGGGGGUGAAAGGCCAAUCAAACCGGGAGAUAGCUGGUUCUCCCCGAAAGCUAUUUAGGUAGCGCCUCGUGAAUUCAUCUCCGGGGGUAGAGCACUGUUUCGGCUAGGGGGCCAUCCCGGCUUACCAACCCGAUGCAAACUGCGAAUACCGGAGAAUGUUAUCACGGGAGACACACGGCGGGUGCUAAUGUCCGUCGUGAAGAGGGAAACAACCCAGACCGCCAGCUAAGGUCCCAAAGUCAUGGUUAAGUGGGAAACGAUGUGGGAAGGCCCAGACAGCCAGGAUGUUGGCUUAGAAGCAGCCAUCAUUUAAAGAAAGCGUAAUAGCUCACUGGUCGAGUCGGCCUGCGCGGAAGAUGUAACGGGGCUAAACCAUGCACCGAAGCUGCGGCAGCGACACCGUGUGUUGUUGGGUAGGGGAGCGUUCUGUAAGCCUGUGAAGGUGUGCUGUGAGGCAUGCUGGAGGUAUCAGAAGUGCGAAUGCUGACAUAAGUAACGAUAAAGCGGGUGAAAAGCCCGCUCGCCGGAAGACCAAGGGUUCCUGUCCAACGUUAAUCGGGGCAGGGUGAGUCGACCCCUAAGGCGAGGCCGAAAGGCGUAGUCGAUGGGAAACGGGUUAAUAUUCCCGUACUUGGUGUUACUGCGAAGGGGGGACGGAGAAGGCUAUGUUGGCCGGGCGACGGUUGUCCCGGUUUAAGCGUGUAGGUAUGUGUUCCAGGUAAAUCCGGUUCACUUUAACACUGAGGCGUGACGACGAGGCACUACGGUGCUGAAGCAACAAAUGCCCUGCUUCCAGGAAAAGCCUCUAAGCAUCAGGUAACAUCAAAUCGUACCCCAAACCGACACAGGUGGUCAGGUAGAGAAUACCAAGGCGCUUGAGAGAACUCGGGUGAAGGAACUAGGCAAAAUGGUGCCGUAACUUCGGGAGAAGGCACGCUGACACGUAGGUGAAGUGAUUUACUCACGGAGCUGAAGUCAGCCGAAGAUACCAGCUGGCUGCAACUGUUUAUUAAAAACACAGCA